GCAAAAGAAGUAGGUAGCUUAACCUUCGUGAGGGCGCUUACCACUUUGUGAUUCAUGACUGGGGUGAAGUCGUAACAAGGUAACCGUAGGGGAACCUGCGGUUGGAUCACCUCCUUACCUUAAAGAAGC
rnacentral:rRNA from 1 species